UACGUAGGGUGCGAGCGUUAAUCGGAAUUACUGGGCGUAAAGCGUGCGCAGGCGGUUCUCCAAGUCCGUUGUGAAAGCCCCGGGCUCAACCUGGGAAUGGCAGUGGAAACUAGGGGACUGGAAUCUGGCAGAGGGGGGUGGAAUGCCGCGUGUAGCAGUGAAAUGCGUAGAGAUGUGGAGGAAUACCGAUGGCGAAGGCAGCCCCCUGGGCCAAUACUGACGCUCAUGCACGAAAGCGUGGGGAGCAAACAGG
rnacentral:rRNA from 1 species